rnacentral:rRNA from 1 species
UCCUGGCUCAGAUUGUAACGCUGGCGGCGAUGCCUUACACAUGCAAGUCGAACGGCAGCACGGGAGGCUUGCUCCUGGUGGCGAGUGGCGAACGGGUGAGUAAUACAUCGGAACGUACCCUGAAGUGGGGGAUAACGUAGCGAAAGUUACGCUAAUACCGCAUAUUCUGUGCGCAGGAAAGCAGGGGAUCGCAAGACCUUGCGCUGAUUGAGCGGCCGAUAUCAGAUUAGCUAGUUGGUGGGGUAAAGGCCUACCAAGGCGACGAUCUGUAGCGGGUCUGAGAGGAUGAUCCGCCACACUGGAACUGAGACACGGUCCAGACUCCUACGGGAGGCAGCAGUGGGGAAUUUUGGACAAUGGGGGCAACCCUGAUCCAGCCAUGCCGCGUGAGUGAAGAAGGCCUUCGGGUUGUAAAGCUCUUUCGGCCGGGAAGAAAUCGUAUGGGUUAAUACCCUGUGCGGAUGACGGUACCGGCAUAAGAAGCACCGGCUAACUACGUG